GUAGGAUCAUGCCUUGUAAUUUUAUCUACCAGAUAAAAAAAAUGUUGCUCUAAAAUGAAGAUAUUUUGCAAGACCUAAACGUUGUUAUUUUAAGCAGAGCAAUUACCAUUUAAUAUUACUGGAGCCUUCAACAGAACUUUUAUCCAAGCAUCUCAGAAGAAGAAGGAUUAAGGAACAUGGCAUCACUGCAUCCCUGUGGCAGGUGUGGAAACGUAGGCACAAGAAGGCUUCACCGCAGCCCACAGUCAGACAGUAAAGGAUGAAGUUUAUGGCUGUUACUCAUUUACCUACUGGUACUAGAAGAUCUGGAAUUUCACUUCAGUGGCAUCCUUUUGCAAGGGUAACUGGAAGACCUUGUCUGAGCAUUGUCCUAGUUUAUGGGAGAGAUUAA
rnacentral:lncRNA from 1 species